UUCAUUCAUGGAGUAAGUCUUUUGUGAUGC
rnacentral:piRNA from 1 species